ensembl:snRNA U2 U2 spliceosomal RNA
AUCGCUUCUCGGCCUUUUGGCUAAGAUCAAGUGUAGUAACAGUAGGUUGAAGAUUCUCUCUCUUUCUCCUUCUUUCUCUCUCUUUCUCCCUCUGUCAAAUAACUAAAUCUUU